rnacentral:rRNA from 1 species
ACGGGUGAGGAAUGCAUCGGAAUCUGCCUCUAUGUGGGGGAUAACGUAGGGAAACUUACGCUAAUACCGCAUACGACCUACGGGUGAAAGCCGGGGACCUUCGGGCCUGGCGCAGAGAGAUGAGCCGAUGCCGGAUUAGCUAGUUGGCGGGGUAAUGGCCCACCAAGGCGACGAUCCGUAGCUGGUCUGAGAGGAUGAUCAGCCACACUGGAACUGAGACACGGUCCAGACUCCUACGGGAGGCAGCAGUGGGGAAUAUUGGACAAUGGGCGCAAGCCUGAUCCAGCCAUGCCGCGUGAGUGAAGAAGGCCUUCGGGUUGUAAAGCUCUUUUGUCCGGGAAGAAAAGCCUUAGAUUAAUACUCUGGGGUCCUGACGGUACCGGAAGAAUAAGCACCGGCUAACUUCGUGCCAGCAGCCGCGGUAAUACGAAGAGUGCAAGCGUUACUCGGAAUUACUGGGCGUAAAGCGUGCGUAGGUGGUUCGUUAAGUCUGAUGUGAAAGCCCCGGGCUCAACCUGGGAACUGCAUUGGAUACUGGCGAUCUGGAGUGCGGUAGAGGGUGGCGGAAUUCCCGGUGUAGCAGUG